rnacentral:rRNA from 1 species
AGCUUUGAUCCGUAGAUGUCCGAAUGGGGAAACCCACUCCUUUUGGAGUAUCCAUGGCUGAAUACAUAGGCCAUGCGAAGCGAACGCGGUGAACUGAAACAUCUAAGUAACCGCAGGAAAAGAAAUCAACCGAGAUUCCCAAAGUAGUGGCGAGCGAAAUGGGAUGAGCCUUGCACUCUUUAUUUGUAUUGUUAGCCGAACGCUCUGGAAAGUGCGGCCAUAGCAGGUGAUAGCCCUGUAGGCGAAAACAGUAUGAAAGAACUAGGUGUGCGACAAGUAGGGCGGGACACGUGAAAUCCUGUCUGAAGAUGGGGGGACCAUCCUCCAAGGCUAAAUACUCGUGAUCGACCGAUAGUGAACCAGUACCGUGAGGGAAAGGCGAAAAGAACCCCGGGAGGGGAGUGAAAUAGAUCCUGAAACCGCAUGCAUACAAACAGUCGGAGCCUCGUAAGGGGUGACGGCGUACCUUUUGUAUAAUGGGUCAGCGACUUACGUUCAGUAGCAAGCUUAACCGUAUAGGGCAGGCGUAGCGAAAGCGAGUCCGAAUAGGGCGUUCAGUUGCUGGGCGUAGACCCGAAACCAGGUGAUCUAUCCAUGGCCAGGAUGAAGGUGCGGUAACACGUACUGGAGGUCCGAACCCACUAACGUUGAAAAGUUAGGGGAUGAGCUGUGGAUAGGGGUGAAAGGCUAAACAAACCUGGAAAUAGCUGGUUCUCUCCGAAAACUAUUUAGGUAGUGCCUCGUGUCUCACCUUCGGGGGUAGAGCACUGUCAUGGUUGGGGGGUCUAUUGCAGAUUACCCCGCCAUAGCAAACUCCGAAUACCGAAGAGUGCAAUCACGGGAGACAGACAUCGGGUGCUAACGUCCGGUGUCAAGAGGGAAACAACCCAGACCGCCAGCUAAGGUCCCCAAAUAUAGCUAAGUGGGAAACGAAGUGGGAAGGCUAAAACAGUCAGGAGGUUGGCUUAGAAGCAGCCACCCUUUAAAGAAAGCGUAAUAGCUCACUGAUCGAGUCGUCCUGCGCGGAAGAUGUAACGGGGCUAAGCUAUAUACCGAAGCUGCGGAUGCGUGCUUAGCACGCAUGGUAGGAGAGCGUUCCGUAAGCCUGCGAAGGUGCCUUGUAAAGGGUGCUGGAGGUAUCGGAAGUGCGAAUGCUGACAUGAGUAGCGAUAAAGGGGGUGAAAGGCCCCCUCGCCGUAAGCCCAAGGUUUCCUACGCAACGUUCAUCGGCGUAGGGUGAGUCGGCCCCUAAGGCGAGGCAGAAAUGCGUAGCUGAUGGGAAGCAGGUCAAUAUUCCUGCACCAUUGUUAGAUGCGAUGGGGGGACGGAUCGCGGAAGGUUGUCCGGGUGUUGGAAGUCCCGGUCGCUGCAUUGGAGAAGGCGCUUAGGCAAAUCCGGGCGCGUAAUUCAAGGGUGUGGCGCGAGCUCCUUAGGGAGCGAAGCAAUUGGAAGUGGUUCCAAGAAAAGCCUCUAAGCUUCAGUCUAACGAUGACCGUACCGCAAACCGACACAGGUGGGCGAGAUGAGUAUUCUAAGGCGCUUGAGAGAACUCGGGAGAAGGAACUCGGCAAAUUGGUACCGUAACUUCGGGAUAAGGUACGCCCUUGUAGCUUGAC